GAUUUGUAAAUUUAAAAUGUGUAAAUGGGAAUGAGGCAGUUCGUAUUCCCCAUUUAUAAAGUAAACGAAAAGUCAAAAUAAUUAUGUCAGAAUUUAAUACACCAAAAC